rnacentral:rRNA from 1 species
GAUGAACGCUGGCGGCGUGCUUAACACAUGCAAGUCGAACGAGAAGUGGAGACGGAAACCUUCGGGCGGAAGACUUUACUUCGAGUGGCGGACGGGUGAGUAACGCGUGGGUAACCUGCCUCAUACAGGGGGAUAACAGUUGGAAACGACUGUUAAUACCGCAUAAGACCACAGCACCGCAUGGUGCGGGGGUAAAAACUCCGGUGGUAUGAGAUGGACCCGCGUUCGAUUAGCCAGUUGGCGGGGUAACAGCCCACCAAAGCGACGAUCGAUAGCCGAUCUGAGAGGAUGACCGGCCACAUUGGGACUGAGACACGGCCCAAACUCCUACGGGAGGCAGCAGUGGGGAAUAUUGCACAAUGGGGGAAACCCUGAUGCAGCGACGCCGCGUGAGUGAAGAAGUAUUUCGGUAUGUAAAGCUCUAUCAGCAGGGAAGAAAAUGACAGUACCUGAGUAAGAAGCCCCGGCUAACUACGUG